AAUAGUUUGUUUGACCAUUUCAGUUGUGCCUUAGGUUUAAAGAUUAAUAGAAAAAUCUAGAGCUUUCUAUAGGUUCAAGAAACAUAAGAAAAAGGGGUUUGAAUUGAGUUUCUAAAUGAUUUAGACUUUUUCCCAAUUUCAACACACAAUAAACCAAGACAAUAAAAACAAUAGGGUAUUCCGCCUGCAUUGUGUUUGUGACCG
rnacentral:lncRNA from 1 species